rnacentral:rRNA from 1 species
AGCGAACGCUGGCGGCAGGCCUAACACAUGCAAGUCGAACGAACUCUUCGGAGUUAGUGGCGGACGGGUGAGUAACACGUGGGAACGUGCCUUUAGGUUCGGAAUAACUCAGGGAAACUUGUGCUAAUACCGAAUGUGCCCUUCGGGGGAAAGAUUUAUCGCCUUUAGAGCGGCCCGCGUCUGAUUAGCUAGUUGGUGAGGUAAAGGCUCACCAAGGCGACGAUCAGUAGCUGGUCUGAGAGGAUGAUCAGCCACAUUGGGACUGAGGCACGGCCCAAACGCCUGCGGGAGGCAGCAGUGGCGAAUCUUGCGCAAUGAGCGAGAGCCUGACGCAGCCAUGCCGCGUGAAUGAUGAAGGUCUUAGGAUUGUAAAAUUCUUUCACCGGGGACGAUAAUGACGGUACCCGGAGAAGAAGCCCCGGCUAACUUCGUG